GGCAACACUGAUUCGUGUUGUUAUGUUUCUAGUUUUAAAUUCUAGUAUUACGAACGUUGGCGUGUGUAGUGUUUAUAUCGUAUUUUGCUAGUUUAAUUUUAUAUGUGAAUAUAAUUAUUCGAAUUUUAAUCAGUUUCGUCACAGAUAAUGUUUUGAAUCAUUUGAAAUUUAUAUUUGUUUACAGUUUAAUAUUUAUAGAUGAUUUAUGCAUGCCUUUGUUUAUUGAAGUAACAUAUAAAGGUGAUUUUACACUUCAAUGUUGAGCAGCUGAAGACGAAUAAUGAAGAGAGAUCUAUUUUAACGUUUUAUUUAUGAGUGUAUAACAUUUUGAAAAAUGUCCGAUACCGAACCAAUUUUUA